GUGAGGAAUAUUGGUCAAUGGGCGGGAGCCUGAACCAGCCAAGUCGCGUGAAGGAAGAAGGAUCUAUGGUUCGUAAACUUCUUUUGCAGGGGAAUAAAGUGCGGGACGUGUCCUGUUUUGUAUGUACCCUGAGAAUAAGGAUCGGCUAACUCCGUGCCAGCAGCCGCGGUAAUACGGAGGAUCCGAGCGUUAUCCGGAUUUAUUGGGUUUAAAGGGUGCGUAGGUGGUUUGAUAAGUCAGCGGUGAAAGUUUGCAGCUUAACUGUAAAAAUGCCGUGGAAACUGUCGGACUUGAGUGUAAAUGAGGUAGGCGGAAUGCGUGGUGUAGCGGUGAAAUGCAUAGAUAUCACGCAGAACUCCGAUUGCGAAGGCAGCUUACUAAGCUACAACUGACACUGAAGCACGAAAGCGUGGGGAUCAAACAGGAUUAGAAACCCGUGUAGUCC
rnacentral:rRNA from 1 species